UACGUAGGGACCAAGCGUUGUUCGGAUUUACUGGGCGUAAAGGGCGCGUAGGCGGCGUGUUAAGUCAGCUGGUGAAAAUCUCCAAGCUUAACUUGGAACGGUCAGCUGAUACUGAUGUGCUAGAGUGCAGAAGGGGCAACCGGAAUUCUUGGUGUAGCGGUGAAAUGCGUAGAUAUCAAGAGGAACACCUGAGGUGAAGACGGGUUGCUGGGCUGACACUGACGCUGGAGGCGCGAAAGCGUGGGGAGCAAACAGG
rnacentral:rRNA from 1 species